UUUGAAACUAUUUUUAAAAUUUUUAUUUUCAAAUUUUUUAAUAUUUAUUUUUUAUUUUAUAAAAUUUUAAAUCUCAAUCCUAAAUCUCCACCCAUUAACUCUAAACCCUAAGGUUUGGAUUAGUUAACCCUAUGAGUAUAAGUGUAUAUUUACCUCUUUAACGAAAUAUUUUGGUUAUUUUGAUUUUUAGAAUCUAUAUUUGUGACAUAAAUUUUUUUAGUGUUAUCCUAGAGUAUUUUCCAGGAAAGAUCUGUUGCAUAUCAAAUAUGGUUAUAUAUACCAAUGAUCAUAUUAGUAUUACCAAUGAUCAUAUUGACAUAUUCUCAAUAAAACUAUACUUUUAUUAUUUGGACCUACCCAACACAAGAAUAAAGUUCACAAUAUUGAAAUUAUAAUGAUCUACAAUGCAGAAGGGUUAACAAACCACAAGAAUCAGCACAAAUUCACAAGGUAGACAAAAAUUGUGACCGCCUUAACUCGUGUGUCACUUAUCCUAAUAUAGUAAUAUUAGAUAUUCCAUUAAAAUGUCAAGUCCUUGAAUUACAAAUAUAACAAAAGCUCACAAACGCAUAAAAUACUAUCAUAUUUAAAUAUAUAAAUAUUCAAAAAAAAUUUUGUUGUUCACAUUAAAAAUUAUACUAUUAUUCAAAAAAUAUUUUAAAAAAUUAUGCUAAUAAAUAGUACUAUAAACUAUAGCAAAUCAUUGGACAAUGAGUGAUAAUGAAUCUUCAUUAAAUUGAUUGAAUUUUAUGCGAUUGUGAUUCUCUCUAUAUUUAUGGUUUGUUAGUUUGCUCUAUAUUCUUUUAGUCAUUUUUAUUUGACUUAAGAUUUAGAUUUUGUUUUUGGAAUUUUAACAUGGCUUAGUUUUUUUAUGACAUCAGAUUUUUUUCUUUGACCCAUAAUGAUUAUGUUGUGUCUCUGAUUCAAAUUACCCUGAACAAAUAUGUUGUUCGUUAAAACCAAAACACGAAUUAUUUUACUUGGUUGUUAUUGCGCUGGUUAUUGCAAAUGUUGUAAUACAAUUUUGUGAAUAUAAUUAUUGUAAUUGACUAUUAAAUGUUUAUUUACACCAGAAAAACUUGUUACAAAUAAAAUAUAUAUUUCAUGAUAACAUUUAAAAUGACAACAUACAUAUAAUUUAUGUCAGAUCAAACACCCAAAUAUACAAUACAUAUAUAUAUAUAUAUAGUGAAUAUGUAAUCCCUUAUAUACUAAAGCACAAGUCACUCAACCAAUCAAAGUUUGCCAUAUGGAAAUUACAUUUUUCAAAAAAAAAAUAUUAAAAAAAAAUUAGACAAAACAAUUGAUUUCAUCUCUAUUCUCAACGUAAACAAAGAACAGUUUUUUAAUUGUUUGCCACGAUCUCCACCAUCCUACAUUAAAAUCAGUUAUGCAGCAAAUUUGCUUAUAAAAUGGUUUCGAACUGUUAAUUUCUCCCAUGAAGUAACUAAUGCUUUCAUCUCUCUCAGAAUUUAAUUUUGAUAUCGGAAAGAUCCUAUCUUCUUUGUUUUUCUUCUCUGGAUGAAUCUUCAGUCUAACGGUGGUGUAUAGUUUCGUAAAUGAAUAAGUGAUAAAAUAUUUUAAGUCGUAGCAAUUAACUAUGUUCUGUUGUGCAGUUUGAAUUCCUUUUGUUUUAAUUCUUUCUUUUUUUUUUUGCAGAGGAAUCAUCAGUGUUCCCACAUAUUACACAAAGUUGACAGCAACUUACAUGAAGACUCUACCCGUUCAUGUUUUGAUUAAUAGGUCAGAUGCAAAACCUUUCAACUUUUUUGUUUGAACAUUACCUUUCCACUAUUGAAAGAAGAAAUAGAACAUUACCUUUAUCUCUCAAGCAUUUUUCUAUAUUUCAUUUUCUUUAAAGCAAUCAACACGUCAGUAGGAGAAAGAUAUCAAACUAUUGUUUCUGGUUUUGAGUAGAAGCUAAUCAAAGAGUGGCUGAAGAGCCUGAUAAAAAAUUUGUCAAAAAAUAACCCACUAAUAAAUUCAAUAAUAAUUGCAAAGAAAUUCUUAUUAAAAACUGAGUAUGAGUAUCUAUUUACAUUUCAUUUCAUUUGAAAAUAAAAAUAAACAAAUGCAUAUGAUUGUAACUGGUUCUGUCACGCUGUGAUCUUUUUAAUAACAAAUAUAUUCAUAUAUAAACUUAAGAAAAAUACAAAUUUAUGUCUUCUUUAAAUAUUUUUUUUGAAAAAGAAAAAAAACUGAUUAAUUAACUAAUAAUAUUAUUUAAAGAAAAAAAUACAAAUUUAUGCCUUUUUUAAAUAAUAUUGUUUGUCAUUGUUUGUGGAUUUAUAUUUUAGUUACUUAAUAAAUAUGUUGGCUUUGUUUUUCGUGGUUUAUUACAAGUUGUGCAUUAACAUAAUUUAUUUAUUCAAAAUUUGUUAUUUUCACAGUUUCAUUUGUAACCAUUCAUUCUAUCAAUGUUUUGUUCAUAACUAAUAAUACUAUAGUCAAUAUUUGAUUCAGAUACAAAACAUCUGUGUUCAGUUAAAAUUUAGAUUGGAAAAUGUUAAGGAUUAUAACUAUUCCCAUGCAUAGCAUGGGCCAAAAUACUAGUAAACAAUAAGAUGAUGGAAAACUAUAAAUUUGAAACUAAUUAUUAAAAACAUUUAUUAAACUUUCUGCACAUGUAAUUCCUAAAUGUCUCGACAACACCAUUAGGUUUGGAAACAAUAUAUUCUUCAUGACUUGUUAGUUGUUUAUUACAAAACGUUUUGCAAUCUACUUCACAAGUUGCCGGAUCUGGUUUUCCGGAUACUUUCAUGCACUGAUUCAAGAUGCAAUGUUUGACACAUUUCUCAACAUUGGUUGAAAGAGAAAUUUGUGCCGAAAUCAUCAUUAUAUAAAUAGCUACUAUCAUGAAAAUAGUGCUUGAAUUUUUCAAAAUUUGAGUUUUCAUAAUGUAUAUACAAUUACAACAAAUGUAAAUGUGUAUUAGUUUAGUCUUUUUUAGAUCGUGAACAAGAUGAUUCUGAUAUUGUGUUAGUCUAGGUGAAUUAUAUAGUAUAGUAAAUCAUGGGUAUUUUUAGAAGUUUGUUUUAGUUAGUUUGUUGUUUCUUUUAUUAAUAUAUAUACAUCGAUUGAGUUGUGUGGAACUUACCUAUAUUUGUUUUGUUAGCUAUCUAACCAAUUUUUGUUAUAACAAUAAAAUAUAUCCUUUUUAUCCGUAGCAAUAAGAUAUAUUUUUGGUAAUUAUUAUAGUCUUAUAUUAAAAAAUAUAAAUGAUAUAGUAUUACAUCAAAAAAUUUUGAUCUAAACACGCAAAAUUAUGGUUUUGUUUUGAAAUUUUAAAAUUAUAAAAAUUAUAAAAUUAUUCUUUACUUUUACAAAAUUAAGAAUUUGAAAUAUGUUUUUAAAGUUUCUUAUAAUUUAUUCAAAUAGCAAUAACGGAAUAUCAAACUAAUAACAUGUCAUAUAUUUUGUUUAACACUUAAAAAAUCAGGAAGAACCUACAAAUUUUGAAUUGUUUUUGAAGGUUUAGUAGACAAUCAGGAACGCUAUCAUGAAUAGUCUGAUAAAAUAGAAUUUCAUACAAAGACCACAUCUAGAAGCUUGGAAUGGUUAUAAAACAAAGUUGGCUUACUACAUUGGUACAUAUCAUACCACUCCAUGUUUGUAUGAUUUAGUAUUAACAUUUAACUACAAAAACAGAUUUAUUAGGAACAACAUGCAAAAUUCGAGUUUUUUGGAAAGAUUGAUAUAUGUUUAGGAAAGUUAUCAUGAACAAUUUAAGAAAGAAAAAAACAUACAAAAACCCACACAAAAGAGGUGUGAAAUGAUGUAUUUGUUGUUCUCUUUGCACAAUAUGACCAACUACUAUGUUGGUUUUUGAAAUCCCUAUAUGAACAUGAUAUAAAUUUUGAAUAAAAUUCAAGAGAACUGAAAAAUCACUUAUAUCACAAACUGGCUUGUUACAUCUAGAUGAAUAAGAAAGAACCUGCAACUUUUGGAUUGUUUUGAAAGGUUUAAUACAUAAUUAUGAAGGAUAUCAUGAAUAGUUUAAGAAGUAGUUUUGAGUCUUUCAGAAGUUUCAGUCAUACUAUAAAAUAAGUUUUCACUCUCAAGAUCAUAUAUGUCAUUGCUUACAUGUUGAAACUACUUUAAUCAAAGAGCACAACAAUAAGAUACUAUUUCAUACAUCAAAACGUCAAAGAGGCUGUGAGCAAAAGCGUGUUUCGCCUCAUGGUACAUAUGUGAUGAGUGAAAAAAAACCUAAUACCUAAAAAAUGUAAAAAGACAUUCAGAUUAAAUUUUAUUUCAGCAGAUGCUAAUAACAUCUUUACAUAUCAAACGAAAAGCUUCAAUAAAUCAUAUAAUAUGGUUUGCUAAUGUCACUGUUAUUAGAGAUUAAGGUUUUGUUAACUGAGCUACAAUACAAACAAAUUGUCACAAGCUAAAGCUUAAUAGACCGAUUCUCCAUGGAAGGAAGGAGACAACUCGAGACUUUAGUAAUUAUGGAACAAGUGGCCAAGCAAAUAUGGUUAGACCAGUUGAUUCAUCUACAACCAGGAACAUACUGUUGAGAUUAUUACUUAGGUUUGCUUAGGUUUCAAGUUAUCUUUUACCUAGAACUAAACUGAAAGUAAAGACACAAUCAAUUUAACGAGUUCCUGGCCUCUAGCACGAUACGUCUCAUAGGAGAACUCAUGCUCCCAAAUUCCACUUGAUCAAAGAAUCUCUAGCAACAUCAAAUCAGUGUGCUAGAUAGUUUGGUUACAAUGAGAUAAACUCAAGUUAGCUAGGGAAUAUAACAACCUUUAGAUGAGACAAUAGUCUUAAGCCUAAGCUAUUUCUCUUUGUUGAAGUCUCCUUUCCCUUGCUACUAUGACUUGCUGAUUGAUCUCUGUCACCGUAACCUGCUGUCGUUGCUUGUACAUGUGUUAACCUAAUCCCCGUACUAACAUUGAUAUAUAUAUGCUUUGUACGUGGUCAGGUGGUGCAAGCUGGAAUGGGCCUGUAGAGACUCGGCCCAAGAGAUAUGAUGUUGCUGCUGGCCCGUAAGUCUCUUCUGUGAAGCCCAAACUCUACAAAUCUCCACCAGUUUGGUUUGAGCCCAACACUGGCCCAUUCGGCAAACCCUUGUGUCGACAGCCUCCUCCUCUUGUCUCUUUGUCUUUUGUGGUCAAAAAAAUCAAUCUUGACUCUCUCACCUCUCUGCGUCUCUCUUCCUCACGUACCUUCAUCAUCGAAAUGAUCUCGGCUCCGUCUCGUGAGAGAUCUCGGUCAGCUCAGUCGUGACGACUUCACUUUGUUUCUCCUUUCUCUCCAGGUAUAUCUAAUCUCUUUGUUUGCUUUGAGAUUAGGAUCUUCUGCAAAGAAAGUUGAGAACUUUCUUGAGUAUUUCACUGACCCUUAACUUCUUUGUUCAUUGCAUGUCUUCUCCGGCGAUUCUACGCCUCCUCCGACAUGACUCGAGCUCUGACUCGAGCUCCACCGUCACGCUCCACCUCUUUUGUGAACCAAGGUAUGGACUUAUACAUCUUAGUCCUCCUUUGCAUGUAUUUGAUCUACUCCAAUCUAACCCUCUUGACGUUUCAGGGAUCGAUUUCAACUCUAUGCUGAGUUCCUUCCUUGCGAUCUUGAUGAAACUGAAGUUUGAUCUGAGUAACUCGCCUCAACUCGGUGAGCUUUCAAUACACUUAACUUUCUUUCAACUUAGCUUCUCAAAGACCUUUUGUCUUGUACCAUACUCGAGUUGGUCACUGACACAUAUGCUUUGUAGCUUGUUGUAGGUCUGUCCGUCUUUAUUGAUGGUUGGUGACGCUUUCUGAUUCCGUGGAACUUAGAUUGACUCAAUGUGAUCGUUGAGUCCUACUUUUCAUAAAGCCCAUGACUGCUUGACCUUUCCACAUUCCUCCACUUGAGUCGAGAACCCUUCUCGACCCUGUCUGGGCUCCAGGUAACUCCUACUACUCUUAUCACGGUGCUCCUUAUUACUGUUUGACUCAUCUUACAAAUACUCACAUACGUAAAUGCUUGUGUUAUGCGAGGAUGGAGCCAAUUGCAAUAGGAUCACCUGGAGCCUUCUCCACCUUAUCAGUGGACGUUCAAAAGCUCACAGCAAAGCUGUAACUUCUGACCAGGGUCUAUUGCAGGUGCAGACUCAACAAUUCCAGAAAGUCCCUUUCAUGUGUCUCUUGACGCUGACUCAGGAUCGUCCUUAAUGUCUGAGACAUCCUUCAGUAGCUUCCCAUCAGUGAGGAUAGCUUUCAAUCCGAGCACUCCAAAGUGAGCCAACAUGCUCACCUUCCAUAGUGCAAAGUCACCAGUACCCUCAAAAUGAUCCACCUCUAUGCGUGUGUUAGACAUCGCUUGUAUCAGGUACUCCUUAUCUCUCUCACCUAAACAACCUUAACAACCUGGAAGCUCUAAUACCACUUGUUAAGAAUAUUACUUAGGUUUGCUUAGGUUUCAAGUUAUCUUUGACCUAGAACUAAACUGAAAGUAAAGACACAAUCAAUUUAACGAGUUCCCGGUCUCUAGCACGGUACGUCUCGUGGGAGAACUCCUGCUUCCAAAUUCCACUAGAUCAAAGAAUCUCUAGUAACACCAAAUCAGUGAGCUAGAUAGUUUGGUUACAAUGAGAUCAACUCAAGUUAGCUAGGGAAUACAACAACCAUCUAGAUGAGACAAUAGUCUUAAGCCUAAGUUAUUUCUCUCUGUUGAAGUCUCCUUUCCCUUGCUACUAUGACUUGCUGAUUGAUCUCUAUCGCCGUAAUCUGCUGUCGUUGCUUGUACUUGUGUUAACCUAAUCCCCGUACUAACACUGAUAUAUAUAUAUAUAUAUAUGCUUUAUACAUGAUCAGGUGGUGCAAGCUGGAGUGGGACUGUAGAGACUCGGCCCAAGAGAUAUGAUGUUGCUUCUGGCCCGUAAGUCUCUUCUGUGAAGCCCAAACUCUACACAUACAAAUCAAAACUUAACAAUGAUCACUUUUCAUGUAUCUUAGCUUGUUGUUCAUCAGAAUAAUUUGCUUCUUUUGCAGCCACAGUGAAUCUUAACAAACAUUGGUAGAGCUUUUACUAUAUCAUUGUCUAAUGAAAGUAAUUCAAAACAACAAACUUGCUCUUAUUGAAACCAAAAUCACAAGAAUCCAUCAAAAUGGAUUAAUCCUAUAACUGUUUCAUCAAAUUGAGAAUUGAAAAAGUAACAAUGAUAUGAGAUACCUUCAAUAAGCAAAAUCAAAUUUAUAACUGAGACAGGAGCAGGGAUUGGAGCUGAGGGAGACAAACAUAGAUGAUGACGGCGGAGAUAAUGGUGGCGGAGAUGAGCGGCGCUGGAGAUAAUGGCGGUGGAGAUGAGUCAUGCCGGAGAUGAUGAUGUCGGAGAUGAGAGACGAUGUCGUGAUUAUGGGUUAAAAUUUCAAUUAUUAUUAUUAUUUUUUUCGAUUAAGCCCGCAUGUGCGGGCAAAACAUCUAGUCUUUAUUAAUAUCAAAAGAAGUUUAACAUAAUACAAGAAUUAAAACAUACAACAAAUACAUUUUUAAGUUGAACAUGAUAAUAGAAAAGUAAUAACACGAUGUUUCCUAACUCUUUUGCAGGAUAGACUGAUUCGCUAACUUUAUCUAUUUUUUUCUCGGUCUUAAAUGAUCUUGUGUUUGGCUGUCAUCUAUUGUGAUCCAUCGCCUUUUGUUACUUAAUAGAUCAGUGGGUGCGAUCCAUCUGUUACAUCGCUGCCCAUUCCAUACACUCCCGCACCUGGAGAUAACAUGAUUUGUUGUAGUCGCUAUACAUACCAUACAUAAUUCCUCUAAUUGACAUUGAUAAUCAUCAAGCUCCAUCGCCUUCCAUUCCAUGCCUUCACACAAACAAUCCACUUUCCUUCUUACUGUCAAAUAAUGCUGAAUCUUAUCUCUCUGGAGCAGGGGAGUCACGAGCAUCCAUAUUAAAUUAAUUGAAGCGCAUGAAGUCUCCAGUCUUUUCCAUGUCCAUGGCGGUUUGAGAUUCCUUUUUUUGUUCCAUAGAACUCUCAAUUCUUUCAAGAAAAAAUCGCCAUGACGUACCAGCCAUGGAAACACAACGACAAAACAGAACUUCCAAGUUUUGUUUGUCUGAAGAUUACACUCAACAAUUAGGGAGAAGAUGGACUCGUCAGAAGUCUUACCCAAACGCCGUAACCGUUCACUGAGCCAAUUGGCAAACAGAAACUUGUAUGCCCACAGCGAACCCAGACCGCAGCGAUGCCCAGAAUAGAAGAGACGGUGUAACGAUAACAUACGUCGCUUGAUACAAUAAGUUGACGAAAAUGAUUUCAUCGAAAUAAUGCUUUAUUAACACACUAUGACACAAACUAGAAAACAAUGAAAAAACAAAAGUACGUACCGACGCCGGAGCCGGCGCCGGCCGGAGGUUAUUUACGAAAAGGUGUUGCUUUUGUUUUUCGCUUUAGAAAUCGCACUGUUUGAGAGAGAACCAAUUUCAAUUAUUUUUUUAUUUAAUAUAAUUAGAGAAGGAAAAGGACAUAAGGGUAAAUGAUCCUAUUAAAUGAAACCUAAUUUGGUGAUUUUGAGCCUUGAAUUACAAAUAUAACAAAAGCUGACAAACGCAUAAAAUACUAUCCUAUUUAAAUAUAUAAAUAUUCAAAGAAAAGUUUGUUAUUCACAUUAAAAAAUUAUACUAUUACUCAAACAAUAUUUGAAAAAAUUAUGCUAAUAAAUAGUACUAUAAACUAUAGCAAAUCAUUGGACAAUGAGUGAUAAUGAAUCUUCAUUAAAUUGAUUGACUUUUAUGCGAUUGUGAUUCUCUAUAUAUUUAUGGUUUGUUAGUUUGCUCUAUAUUCUUUUAGUCAUUUUUAUUUGACUUAAGAUUUAGAUUUUUUUUUUUUUUGGAAUUUUAACAUGGCUUAGUAUUUUUAUGACAUCUAAUUUUUUUCUUUGACCCAUAAUGAUUCCGUUGUGUCUCUGAUUUAAAUUACCCUGAACAAAUAUGUUGUUCGUUAAAACCAAAACACAAAUUAUUUUACUUGGUUGUCAUUGCGCUGGUUAUUGCAAAUGUUGUAAUACAAUUUUGUGAAUAUAAUUAUUGUAAUUGACUAUUAAAUGUUUAUUUACACCAGAAAAACUUGUUACAAAUAAAAUAUAUAUUUCAAGAUAACAUUUAAAAUGACAACAUACAUAUAAUUUAUGUCAGAUCAAACACCCAAAUAUACAAUAUAUAUAUAGUGAAUAUGUAAUAAACAAUAAGAUGAUGGAAGAAUGUAAAUUUGAAACUAAUUAUUAAAAACAUUUAUUAAACUUUCUGCACAUGUAAUUCCUAAAUGUCUCGACAACACCAUUAGGUUUAGAAAUAAUAUAUUCUUCAUGACUUGUUAGUUGUUUAUUGCAAAACGUUUUGCAAUCUACUUCACAAGUUGCCGGAUCUGGUUUUCCGGAUACUUUCAUGCACUGAUUCAAGAUGCAAUGUUUGACACAUUUCUCAACAUUGUUUGAAAGAGAAAUUUGUGCCGAAAUCAUCAUUAUAUAAAUAGCUACUAUCAUGAAAAUAGUGCUUGAAGUUUUCAAAAUUUGAGUUUUCAUAAUGUAUAUACGAUUACAACAAAUGUAAAUGUGUAUGAGUUUAGUCUUUUUUAGAUCGUGAACAAGAUGAUUCUGAUAUUGUGUUAGUCUAGGUGAAUUAUAUAGUAUAGUAAAUCAUGGGUAUUUUUAGAAGUUUGUUUUAGUUAGUUUGUUGUUUCUUUUAUUAAUAUAUAUACAUCGAUUGAGUUGUGUGGAACUUACCUAUAUUUGUUUUGUUAGCUAUCUAACCAAUUUUUGUUAUAACAAUAAAAUAUAUCCUUUUUAUCCGCAACAAUAAGAUAUAUUUUUGGUAAUUAUUAUAGUCUUAUAUUUAAAAAUAUAAAUGAUAUCAUAGUAUUACAUCAAAACUUUGUGAUCUAAACACACAAAAAUAUGGUUUUAUUUUGAAAUUUUAAAAUUUUAAAAUUAUUCUUUACUUUUACAAAAUUAUGAAUUUAAGUUUAAAUUUGAAAUAUCUUUUUAAAAUUUCUUAUAAUUUAUUCAAAUAGCAAUAACGGAAUAUCAAACUAAUAACAUGUCAUAUAUUUUGUUUAACACUAGAAAAAUCAGGAAGAACCUACAAAUUUUGAAUUGUUUUGGAAGGUUUAGUAGACAAUCAGGAACGCCAUAAUGAAUAGUCUGAUAAAAUAGAAUUUCAUACAAAAACCACAUCUAGAAGCUUCGAAUGGUUAUAAAACAAAGUUGGCUUACUACAUUGGUACAUAUCAUACCACUCCAUGUUUGUGUGAUUUAGUAUCAACAUUUAACUACAAAAACAGAUUUAUUAGGAACAAAAUGCAAAAUUUGAGUUUUUUUGGAAGGAUUGAUAUAUAUUUAUGAAAGUUGUCAUGAACAAUUUAAAAAAGAAAAAAACAUACAAAAACCCACACAAAAGGGGUGUGAAAUGAUGUAUUUGUUGUUCUCUUUGCACAAUAUGACCAACUGCUAUGUUGGUUUUUGAAAUUCCUAUAUGAACAUGAUAUAAAUAUUGAAUAAAAUUCAAGAGAACUGAAAAAUCACUUAUAUCACAAACUGGCUUGUUACAUCUAGAUGAAUAAGAAAGAACCUGCAAAUUUUGAAUUGUUUUGAAAGGUUUAAUACAUAAUUAUGAAGGCUAUCAUGAAUAGUUUAAGAAGUAGUUUUGAGUCUCUCAGAAGUUUCAGGCAUACUAUAAAAUAAGUUUUGACUCUCAAGAUCAUAUAUGUCACUGCUUACAUGUUGAAACUAUUUCAAUCAAAGAGCAUAACAAUAAGAUACUAUUUCAUACAAAAAAACGUCAAAGAGGCUGUGAGCAAAAGCGUGUUUCGCCUCAUGGUACAUAUGUGAUGAGUGAAAAAGAACCUAAUACCUAAGAAAAUGCAAAAAGACAUUCAGAUUAAAUUGAAUAUCAUGAUAAGCUAAUAACAUCAUUACAUAUCAAACGAAAAGCUUCAAACAAUCAGAUAAUAAGGUUUGCAUGUCACUGUAUUAGAGAUUAAGGUUUUGUUAACUGAGCUACAAUACAAACAAAUCGUCGCAAGCUAAAGCUUAACAGCCCGAUUCUCCGUGGAAGCAAGGAGACAACUCGAAACUUUAGUAAUUAUGGAACAAGUGGCCAAGCAAAUAUGGUUAGACCAGUUGAUUCAUCUACAACCAGGAACAUACAAAUGAAAACUUAACAAUGAUCACUUUUCAUGUAUCUUAGCUUGUUGUUCAUCAGAAUAAUUAGCUUCUUUUGUAGCCACAGUGAAUCUUAGCAAACAUUGCUAGAGCUUUACUAUAUCAUUGUCUAAUGAAAGUAAUUCAAAAGCACAUACUCACUCUUAUUGAAACCAAAAUCACAAGAAUCCAUCAAAAUGGAUCAAUCCUAUAACUGUUUCAUCAAAUUGAGAAUUGAAAAAGUAACAUUGAUACGAGAUACCUUUAAUACAACGAAAUCAAAUUUAUUACUGAGACAGCGGAGCUGCGAUUUGAGCUGAGGGAGACAAACGAAGAUGAUGACGGCGUAGAUGAUGACGGCGGAGAUAAUGGCGGCGGAGAUGAGUAGUGCUGGAGAUAAUGGCGGUGGAGAUGAGUCAUGCCGGAGAUGAUGAUGUCGGAGAUGAGAGACGAUGUCGUGAUUAUGGGUUAAAAUUUCAAUUAUUUUUUUAUUUAAUAUAAUUAGAGAAGGAAAGGGACAUAAGGGUAAAUGAUCCUAUUAAAUGAAACCUAAUUUGGUGAUUUUGAACCCUGAAUUACGAAUAUAACAAAAGCUGACAAACGCAUAAAAUACUAUCCUAUUUAAAUAUAUAAAUAUUCAAAGAAAAUUUUGUUAUUCACAUUAAAAAAUUAUACUAUUACUCAAAACAAUAUUUGAAAAAAUUAUGCUAAUAAAUAGUACUAUAAACUAUAGCAAAUCAUUGGAGAAUGAGUGAUAAUGAACCUUCAUUAAAUUGAUUGAAUUUUAUGCGAUUGUGAUUCUCUCUAUAUUUAUGGUUUGUUAGUUUGCUCUAUAUUCUUUUAGUCAUUUUUAUUUGACUUAAGAUUUAGAUUUUUUUUUUUGGAAUUUUAACAUGGCUUAGUAUUUUUAUGACAUAUGAUUUUUUUCUUUGACCCAUAAUGAUUCUGUUGUGUCUAUGAUUCAAAUUACCCUGAACAAAUAUGUUGUUCGUUAAAACCAAAACACGAAUUAUUUUACUUGGUUGUUAUUGCACUGGUUAUUGAAAAUGUUGUAAUACAAUUUUGUGAAUAUAAUUAUUGUAAUUGACUAUUAAAUGUUUAUUUACACCAGAAAAACUUGUUAACAAAUAAAAUAUAUAUUUCAAGAUAACAUUUAAAAUGACAACAUACAUAUAAUUUAUGUCAGAUCAAACACCCAAAUAUACAAUAUAUAUAUAGUGAAUAUGUAAUAAACAAUAAGAUGAUGGAAGACUGUAAAUUUAAAACUAAUUAUUAAAAACAUUUAUUAAACUUUCUGCACAUGUAAUUCCUAAAUGUCUCGACAACACCAUUAGGUUUAGAAACAAUAUAUUCUUCAUGACUUGUUAGUUGUUUAUUGCAAAACGUUUUGCAAUCUACUUCACAAGUUGCCGGAUCUGGUUUUCCGGAUACUUUCAUACACUGAUUCAAGAUGCAAUGUUUGACACAUUUCUCAACAUUGGUUGAAAGAGAAAUUUGUGCCGAAAUCAUCAUUAUAUAAAUAGCUACUAUCAUGAAAAUAGUGCUUGAAUUUUUCAAAAUUUGAGUUUUCAUAAUGUAUAUACGAUUACAACAAAUGUAAAUGUGUAUGAGUUUAGUAUUUUUUUAGAUCGUGAACAAGAAGAUUCUGAUAUUGUGUUAGUCUAGGUGAAUUAUAUAGUAAAGUAAAUCAUGGGUAUUUUUAGAAGUUUGUUUUAGUUAGUUUGUUGUUUCUUUUAUUAAUAUAUAUACAUCGAUUAAGUUGUGUGGAACUUACCUGUAUUUGUUUGUUAGCUAUCUAACCAAUUUUUGUUAUAACAAUAAAAUAUAUCCUUUUUAUCCGCAACAAUAAGAUAUAUUUUUGGUAAUUAUUAUAGUCUUAUAUUUAAAAAUAUAAAUGAUAUCAUAGUAUUACAUCAAAACUUUGUGAUCUAAACGCGCAAAAAAUAUGUUUUUAUUUUGAAAUUUUGAAGUAUAAAAUUAUUCUUUACUUUUACAAAAUUAUGAAUUUAAGUUUAAGUUUGAAAUAUGUUUUUAAAGUUUCUUAUAAUUUAUUCAAAUAGCAAUAACGGAAUAUCAAACUAAUAACAUGUCAUAUAUUUUGUUUAACACUAGAAAAAUCAGGAAGAACCUACAAAUUUUGAAUUGUUUUGGAAGGUUUAGUAGACAAGCAGGAACGCUAUCAUGAAUAGUCUGAUAAAAUAGAAUUUCAUACAAAAAUCACAUCUAGAAGCUUCGAAUGGUUAUAAAACAAAGUUGGCUUACUAAAUUGGUACAUAUCAUACUACUCCAUGUUUGUGUGAUUUAGUAUCAUCAUUUAACUACAAAAACAGAUUUAUUAGGAACAACAUGCAAAAUUCGAGUUUUUUUUGGAAGGAUUGAUAUAUAUUUAGGAAAGUUAUCAUGAACAAUUUAAGAAAGAAAAAACAUACAAAAACCCACACAAAAGAGGUGUGAAAUGAUGUAUUUGUUGUUCUCUUUGCACAAUAUGACCAACUGCUAUGUUGGUUUUUGAAAUCCCUAUAUGAACAUGAUAUAAAUAUGAAUAAAAUUCAAGAGAACUGAAAAAUCACUUACAUCACAAACUGGCUUGUUACAUUUAGAUGAAUAAGAAAGAACCUGCAAAUUUUGAAUUGUUUUGAAAGUAUUAAUACAUAUUUAUGAAGGCUAUCAUGAAUAGUUUAAGAAGUAGUUUUGAGUCUCUCAGAAGUUCCAGGCAUACUAUAAAAUAAGUUUUGACUCUCAAGAUCAUAUAUGUCACUGCUUACAUGUUGAAACUAUUUCAAUCAAUGAGCACAACAAUAAGGUACUAUUUCUUACAACAAAACGUCAAAGAGGCUGUGAGCAAAAGCGUGUUUCGCCUCAUGGUACAUAUGUGAUGAGUGAAAAAGAACCUAAUACCUAAGAAAAUGCAAAAAGACAUUCAGAUUAAAUUGAAUAUCAUGAAAAGGUAAUAACAUCAUUACAUAUCAAACGAAAAGCUUCAAACAGUCAGAUAAUAAGGUUUGCAUGUCACUGUAUUAGAGAUUAAGGUUUUGUUAACUGAGCUACAAUACAAACAAAUCGUCACAAGCUAACGCUUAACAGCCCGAUUCUCCGUGGAAGCAAGGAGACAACUCGAAACUUCAGUAAUUAUGGAACAAGUGGCCAAGCAAAUAUGGUUAGACCAGUUGAUUCAUCUACAACCAGGAACAUACAAAUGAAAACUUAACAAUGAUCACUUUUCAUGUAUCUUAGCUUGUUGUUCAUCAGAAUAAUUAGUUUCUUUUGCAGCCACAGUGAAUCUUAGCAAACAUUGCUAGAGCUUUACUAUAUCAUUGUCUAAUGAAAGUAAUUCAAAAGCACAUACUCACUCUUAUUGAAACCAAAAUCACAAGAAUCCAUUAAAGUGGAUCAAUCCUAUAACUGUUUCAUCAAACUGAGAAUUGAAAAAGUAACAUUGAUACGAGAUACUUUUAAUACGGCGAAAUCAAAUUUAUUACUGAGACAGCGGAGCAGCGAUUGGAGCUGAGGGAGACAAACGUAGAUGAUGACGGCGUAGAUGAUGACGGCGGAGAUAAUGGCGGCGGAGAUGAGUAGUGCUGGAGAUAAUGGCGGUGGAGAUGAGUCAUGCCGGAGAUGAUGAUGUCGGAGAUGAGAGACGAUGUCGUGAUUAUGGGUUAAAAUUUCAAUUAUUUUUUUAUUUAAUAUAAUUAGAGAAGGAAAGGGACAUAAGGGUAAAUGAUCCUAUUAAAUGAAACCUAAUUUGGUGAUUUUGAGCCUUGAAUUACAAAUAUAACAAAAGCUGACAAACGCAUAAAAUACUAUCCUAUUUAAAUAUAUAAAUAUUCAAAGAAAAUUUUGUUAUUCACAUUAAAAAAUUAUACUAUUACUCAAAACAAUAUUUGAAAAAAUUAUGCUAAUAAAUAGUGCUAUAAACUAUAGCAAAUCAUUGGAGAAUGAGUGAUAAUGAAUUUUCAUUAAAUUGAUUGAAUUUUAUGCGAUUGUGAUUCUCUAUAUGUUUAUGGUUUGUUAGUUUGCUCUAUAUUCUCUUAGUCAUUUUUAUUUGACUUAAGAUUUAGAUUUUUUUUUUUUGGAAUUUUAACAUGCUUAGUAUUUUUAUGACAUCUGAUUUUUUUCUUUGACCCAUAAUGAUUCUGUUGUGUCUCUGAUUCAAAUUACCCUGAACAAAUAUGUUGUUUGUUAAAACCAAAACACGAAUUAUUUUACUUGGUUGUUAUUGCGCUGGUUAUUGAAAAUGUUGUAAUACAAUUUUGUGGAUAUAAUUAUUGUAAUUGACUAUUAAAUGUUUAUUUACACCAGAAAAACUUGUUACAAAUAAAAUAUAUAUUUCAUGAUAACAUUUAAAAUGACAACAUACAUAUAAUUUAUGUCAGAUCAAACACCCAAAUAUACAAUAUAUAUAUAGUUAAUAUGUAAUAAACAAUAAGAUGAUCGAUGACUCUAAAUUCGAAACUAAUUAUUAAAAACAUUUAUUAAACUUUCUGCACAUGUAAUUCCUAAAUGUCUCGACAACACCAUUAGGUUUAGAAACAAUAUAUUCUUCAUGACUUAUUAGUUGUUUACUGCAAAACGUUUUGCAAUCUACUUCACAAGUUGCCGGAUCUGGUUUUCCGGAUACUUUCAUGCAAUGAUUCAAGAUGCAAUGUUUGACACAUUUUUCAACAUUGGUUGAAAGAGAAAUCUGUGCCGAAAUCAUCAUUAUAUAAAUAGCUACUAUCAUGAAAAUAGUGCUUGAAUUUUUCAAAAUUUGAGUUUUCAUAAUGUAUAUACGAUUACAACAAAUGUAAAUGUGUAUUAGUUUAGUCUUUUUAGAUCGUGAACAAGAUGAUUCUGAUAUUGUGUUAGUCUAGGUGAAUUAUAUAGUAAAGUAAAUCAUGGGUAUUUUUAGAAGUUUGUUUUAGUUAGUUUGCUGUUUCUUUUAUUAAUAUAUAUAUAUAUACAUCGAUUAAGUUGUGUGGAACUUACUUGUAUUUUUUUGUUAGCUAUCUAACCAAUUUUUGUUAUAACAAUAAAAUAUGUCAUUUUUAUCCGCAACAAUAAGAUAUAUUUUUGUUAAUUAUUAUAGUCUUAUAUUUAAAAAUAUAAAUGAUAUCAUAGUAUUACAUCAAAACUUUGUGAUCUAAACACGCAAAAAAUAUGGUUUUAUUCUGAAAUUUUAAAAUUAUUCUUUACUUUUACAAAAUUAUGAAUUUAAGUUUAAAUUUGAAAUAUGUUUUUAAAGUUUCUUAUAAUUUAUUCAAAUAGCAAUAACGGAAUAUCAAACUAAUAACAUGUCAUAUAUUUUGUUUAACACUAGAAAAAUCAGGAAGAACCUACAAAUUUUGAAUUGUUUUGGAAGGUUUAGUAGACAAUCAGGAACGCUAUCAUGAAUAGUCUGAUAAAAUAGAAUUUCAUACAAAACCACAUCUAGAAGCUUCGAAUGGUUAUAAAACAAAGUUGGCUUACUACAUUGGUACAUAUCAUACUACUCCAUGUUUGUGUGAUUUAGUAUCAUCAUUUAACUACAAAAACAGAUUUAUUAGGAACAACAUGCAAAAUUUGAGUUUUUUUGGAAGGAUUGAUAUAUAUUUAGGAAAGUUAUCAUGAACAAUUUAAGAAAGAAAAAAACAUACAAAAACCCACACAAAAGAGGUGUGAAAUGAUGUAUUUGUUGUUCUCUUUGCACAAUAUGACCAACUGCUAUGUUGGUUUUUGAAAUCCCUAUAUGAACAUGAUAUAAAUAUUGAAUAAAAUUCAAGAGAACUGAAAAAUCACUUAUACCACAAACUGUUUCAUUAAAUUGACAAUUGAAAAAGUAACAUUGAUACGAGAUACCUUUAAUACGGCAAAAUCAAAUUUAUUACUGAGACAGCGGAGCAGCGAUUGGAGCUGAGGGAGACAAACGUAGAUGAUGACAGCGUAGAUGAUGACGGCAGAGAUAAUGGCGGCGGAGAUGAGUAGUGCUGGAGAUAAUGGCGGUGGAGAUGAGUCAUGCCGGAGAUGAUGAUGUCGGAGAUGAGAGACGAUGUCGUGAUUAUGGGUUAAAAUUUCAAUUAAUUUUUAUUUAAUAUAAUUAGAGAAGGAAAGGGAUAUAAGGGUAAAUGAUCCUAUUAAAUGAAACCUAGUUUGCUGAUACUAAACAUAGAGAAUUAUAAAAGAUAAAUAUUAUAAUGUUUGCUUUAUAAGAUACUAAACAUAGAGAAUUAUAAAAGAUAAAUUUUAAAUUUUAAGAAAAAUGUUAAACAAAAACGAAUUGUAAAAUCCUAUAAGUACAAUAAAUUAUUUAAUAAAAAACGUGAAGAAAAACUAACUUUUAAAUAAAUAAUAAUACUUUUUAAAAAAAAACCUUAUUAAAUGAAAAUCGUAGAAGUACUCUUAUUUUUUCCUUAAAAGUAAGUAACUUUCAUUUUUAAUAGAUAAUUCUAUGUUAAAAAAAUUAUGACCAAAAAUUACUACAAUAUUUAAUAUCUAUAUUUAGAUAAUUGUAAAAGAUUAUAUAAAACUUAGUUUUUCAAAGUUGGUAAAACAUGACAGUAACACAUGACAAUUAUAUAUUUAAGAUUGUGACAUGUGUUAAACUAUCCCAUAAUUAAAAAUAUAUAUACUAACAUAAUAAAUAAAUUUAGUUAAAAAUAGUAACUAUAAAUAUUAUUUUAUUUUAAUUUACAAUUUUUAAAUCCUAAACAAAAUAGAAUUUCAAUAUUGUGACAUGUGUUAAAAUUAAAAUAUCUAUGAUUAAAAAUAUAUAUACUAAGAUAAUAAAAACGAAUUUUGGAAAAGAGAUUUUAAAAAUUAUUUGAAAAUAUAACAAAAAAAAGCAUGGUAUGCAAGAGGAUUGUUCAAUGGUGAUUCAGAAUGGAAAGACGCUAUGGAUGAAGCAUCACAAUUUGAAUAUCCUUUCCAGUUUUGCCAUCUUUUUGAAACAUUGUUACUUUAAUGUGAAUUAUGUAGUCCUUUUAUUCUAUGGGAGCAUUGCUGGCAUUACUUACCUGAAGACAUAUCCAAUAAAGAGAUAUAUUUUCAACUUCAUGGACCAAAAGUUCAGUGAUGAAGAGCUACAAAGUUACACACUUUUAGAAAUAGAGAGGAUUCUAACAUAGAAUGAUAAAUCACUGACUGAUUUUGAAGACAUGCCAAAGGCAUAAGAAAGUGUAUGAAGCUGUUAGUAACUCAAUUACUAUAUGAAAGGAAAAACAAUUUCCUGAAUGGACGAGGAGGAACAGGAAAAAUAUAUAUGUAUAAGACAAUCAUUUAAAGGUUAAGAUCAGAAGGAAAAAUUGUGCUACCAUUGGCAUCAUCUGGAAUUACAGCUAUACUUUUACUUAAUGAUAGAACAUCACAUUCGUGUUUCAAGAUUCCGAUAGAACUUCAUCAAGAAAGUAUGUGCAAUAUUAGUCGUUGUACCAUGAUUUUUGCAUUUGAAGCUCUUGAUAAGACUCUGCGAGAUGUACUCUUUGUGGCAGAUCCAGAUGCAGCAACAAAACUCUUUGGAGGAAAAACAAUACUUCUUGGUGGUGAUUUUUGACACAUUCUUCCAGACAUACCACAAGGCAGGAGGUAACAAACUAUUAUGGCAACAAUCAACCGUUCAUAUUUUGGAUUACUGCUCUAUAUUCACUCUUGAGAAAAAUAUGAGGUUGCAUUAAGCUCGCAAAGAGUUUUCUAAAUGGUUAUUAGGUAUCAGUGACGGCAUAACACCUACACCAGCAAAAUACAAAACCUCGAAUGAAUAAAUCAGCAUAAUUGAGAUAGACAACAAACUGCUCUUGCAAACCAAUGCAGAUCCUGUUGUAUGCAUUACAAAGUCUACAUAUCAUAUCAAGAUUUCCAAAUUCAUUUUAAAGACAAGAAUAUCUCAUCCAAAGAGCACUAUUUACUCCAAAGAAUGAAACGGUGGAUGAAAUGAAUAACUAUAUGUUAACUUGCUUAGACGGUGAGUGAAAUAAAUGUUUGAGUUUUGAUACUAUCAGUGACCACAAGGAAGAAGUGGCAAAUCAGCAUAUCCUAUAUCCCACAGAUUUUUUAAAUACGUUGAAAUUUUCAGGGAUUCCCAAAUCACAAAUUUGAUAUCAAAAUAGGUGUUUCAGUCAUGCUACUAAGAAAUUUAAAUCAACGAGAGGUCUUUGCAAUGGAACAAGGUUACUAAUAACUCGCCUAGCCAAUAUAUGCCAGAUGGCCUUUCAAACUAAAAAAAACGUCAAUUCCCUAAAUGAGUUUGUUAUGCAAUGACUAUAAACAAGAAUCAAGCUAAAAUCUUAAACAAAGUUGGUCUAUAUAUUCUAAGUCCGGUAUUCUCUCAUGGAGAAUUGUAUGUCGCACUAUCAAAAGUCAAUACAACGGCAAGGCUUAAGACUCUUAAAGUAGGCACAAAACAUAACGACAAUAGUAUUCUACAAAAUAUUGUAUAACAAGAAGUAAUAUAUGAUAUAUAGAAAAAGCGGUUAAAGUCACACCGUUGAUACUAAAGUAAACUAAUUUCAUAUUCAUCUAGAAAUAUAUUUGAUAUUUAGCUAACUAUCAAUAAUACAUAUUGAUUGGUGUCGGGUAACAUUAAUAUUUUGAAUUCUGUUGUUUUAAUUUUUCUUAAGCAACGUAAACAAUAUCGAGAGUUUACAAAUAUAUGUUUCAAUUAACUACCACUAAUAUUAUUUUGAAAAAUAAUUCAAAGUGAAGUAUUUAUAAAAAAAAUAUAAAAAUGCUAUUUUAAAAACCAUGAUUACUGAAAUAGAAAUACUAAUCAAAAUUUAUGUAA